GGAAUGUAGAGUGGUUAGCUUUCUUUUCAAGAAUGUAUUUCCAUACUUCUUUUGGGUUUCUAGAAAAGAAGGUACAUUUCCUGGAUUUGAGCUUUAGCCACAGAGAGUAUCUGGGACCAGAAACACAGGAUCUCUAUUAAAAGAACACGAAACGUCACUUCCACACGACCUGCAAUUUCUAGAAUGGAGAGAAAGCUUCAGUAAACAUUCAGUAAUAGCAUGCAACAAAGGAACACACCCUCUGUCGUUGUUGCCCAAGGUGAUGUCAUGUUCAUUCUAAAGGCCGCGGUUCCAAGGGGACUACACCACAAGAAGAUGCCUUCAGAAAGACCCAGAUUUCCUGCGGUCUCAGGUAGGCGGCAGGGAGCAAGAGAACAAGGAAAGGACCCGCCACCACUCUCCCCAAGAUGGAUGCUGCAUGAUGUAAGUGGCUGGCUAAAAUAUCUGGCAUCCUUGCAGUUUUAAGUUGC
rnacentral:lncRNA from 10 species